rnacentral:rRNA from 1 species
ACGAACGCUGGCGGCGUGCUUAACACAUGCAAGUCGAACGGGCGAUUUAAGCUUGCUUAGAUGAGCCUAGUGGCAAACGGGUGAGUAACGCGUAGGCAACCUGCCUCUAAGAUGGGGACAACAGUCCGAAAGGACUGCUAAUACCGAAUGUUGUGAGUUUUCCGCAUGGAGAACUCAUUAAAGAUGGCCUCUACUUGUAAGCUAUCACUUAGAGAUGGGCCUGCGUCUGAUUAGCUAGUUGGUGGGGUAAUGGCUCACCAAGGCGACGAUCAGUAGCCGGUCUGAGAGGAUGAACAGCCACAUUGGGACUGAGACACGGCCCAGACUCCUACGGGAGGCAGCAGUGGGGAAUCUUCCGCAAUGGGCGAAAGCCUGACGGAGCAACGCCGCGUGAGUGAAGAAGGUCUUCGGAUCGUAAAGCUCUGUCGAAGGGGACGAACGUAACCUUUAUCAACAACGAAGGUUAAUGACGGUACCUUUCAAGAAAGCCACGGCUAACUACGUGCCAGCAGCAGC